UACAGAGGGUGCAAGCGUUGUUCGGAAUUAUUGGGCGUAAAGCGCGUGUAGGCGGCUUUGCAAGUCGGGUGUGAAAGCCCUCGGCUCAACCGAGGAAGUGCGCCCGAAACUGCAGAGCUUGAGUACCGGAGAGGAUGGCGGAAUUCCCCAAGUAGAGGUGAAAUUCGUAGAUAUGGGGAGGAACACCGGUGGCGAAGGCGGCCAUCUGGACGUCAACUGACGCUGAGACGCGAAAGCAUGGGGAGCAAACAGG
rnacentral:rRNA from 1 species